GUCUACUGAGGCGGGUCCCACCCCGCUUUUCCCAUCAGAGUCUGAACUCGCGGUUCAGGUUCCCUUUAGGACGCCCCUGGCCUAGAGGAGGGUCCAACGGCUGGCUGCGGGGCUUAGAAUUUUAUUUUUGGUUUACAGCACAGAAGAAGAGCAGUGAGGAAGGGGCGCGGGUGGGGGGUGCAAGGCGGCGGCUCCAAGAAAAGCCAGCCCCUCGCGGCCCGACAGAGUCUCCGCACCCCGCGGGUCGGUGGAGCCUCAGUGGCGAGCGCAGGCGGGUGCUCGGGAAACACAGCCGCCGGGCAAGGGAGGGCCGGACGGAACACAAGCGCGUAGCCGCGGCUUCCGGCCGGGCCACUAGCGCGGACCCUACGACCGGGGCGGGACUUCCGGCAAGGCGCGGAAGCGGCGGUAGUGGCAAGUGGAGAAGUUGUGUGGCUGACGGAUGCAGGCGGUGAGGCACGUCGUGUGUGCCCUGUCCGGCGGCGUGGACAGCGCCGUGGCCGCGCUGCUGCUGAGGCGAAGAGGUUACCAGGUGACAGGGGUGUUUAUGAAGAACUGGGACUCGCUGGAUGAACAUGGGGUGUGUACUGCCGACAAAGACUGUGAAGAUGCUUACAGAGUUUGCCAGAUCUUAGACAUCCCUUUCCAUCAAGUGUCCUACAUAAAGGAGUAUUGGAACGACGUGUUCAGUGAUUUUUUGAAUGAGUAUGAAAAAGGAAGGACUCCCAAUCCUGACAUAGUUUGCAACAAGCACAUCAAAUUCAGUUGCUUUUUUCAUUAUGCUGUGGAUAAUCUUGGGGCAGAUGCCAUUGCCACAGGCCACUACGCAAGAACUUCACUGGAAGAUGAAGAAGUUUUUCAGCAGAAGCACAUUAAGAGGCCAGAAGGGCUUUUCCGAAAUCGGUUUGAAGUUAGAAAUGCGGUAAAACUCCUCCAGGCAGCUGACAGCUUUAAAGACCAGACCUUCUUUCUCAGCCAGGUUUCCCAGGAUGCCCUGAGGAGAACCAUCUUCCCUCUGGGGGGAUUAACAAAAGAGUUUGUAAAGAAAAUCGCCGCUGAGAAUAGACUUCAUCAUGUGCUUCAGAAGAAAGAGAGCAUGGGCAUGUGUUUCAUCGGGAAGAGGAAUUUUGAACAUUUCCUUCUUCAGUAUUUGCAGCCUCGACCUGGUCACUUUAUUUCCAUAGAAGACAAUAAGGUUCUGGGAACACAUAAAGGUUGGUUCCUGUAUACCUUGGGCCAGAGAGCGAACAUCGGUGGCCUGAGAGAGCCCUGGUAUGUGGUAGAGAAGGACGGCGUCAAGGGCAAUGUGUUUGUGGCCCCCCGGAGGGACCACCCAGCCCUGUACAGGGACCUGCUAAGGACCAGCCGCGUGCACUGGAUCACGGAGGAGCCGCCUGCAGCGCUGGUCCGGGACAAGAUGAUGGAGUGCCACUUCCGAUUCCGCCACCAGAUGGCACUAGUGCCCUGCGUGCUGACCCUCAAUCAAGAUGGCACCGUGUGGGUGACAGCUGUGCAGGCUGUGCAUGCCCUUACCACAGGACAGUUUGCUGUGUUCUACAAGGGGGACGAGUGCCUGGGCAGCGGGAAGAUCCUGCGGCUGGGGCCGUCUGCCUACACACUCCAGAAGGGCCAGCACAGAGGUGGGGUGGCCAUCGAGAACCCCAGUGAUGGCCCAGAAGACGGCCCAGGCCUGCGUCCCUUGCCCUGACAGAGACGGAGCUGCUAGAAGGAACCUGGAGAGCAGGCCCAGGGCUGGGUGGCUGCCUAGGCCCCCCACGCAGCAGAGAGUGUCCUGAGGGUGAGGAGUGGGCCAGAACUCCACAGGCCAGGUGAGGAAACGGGGCCUGAGGUGGAGCGGCGGCCCUUGCUGGGCUGGGGCGGGGAGGCAGGGGGCGCGGGGUCAGUGCUGCCCUGGCCAGGGGCAGGCCCCAGCUCUACCAGGCAGGCAGAACGCUGGCUGGUGGGACCAGACAGGCUCCUGGGGAUCCUUGGCCCAGCUGGGCACGGAGGCUGAGCUAAAAGCGCCGCCUUUGUUCUGCUGCCUCAGCACGGAGCCUCCCUGGGCUCAGGGUUUCCCUGAUUUAUGGCUGUGGCCGGGCCUCCAUCCUGGGAACUGAGGGUGGGAGAGCCCCUGCGGGGCCUACUGCUCUGCCCUAGGCGAACCCUCCCAGGUCACAGAAACAUGAGCAGGAGGGAGGAGGGGCAGCCAAGCAGAAGGUGGUGUGGGCACCAGGCCAGCAGGGGUAAGGCUGCCCUCUCCAGUCUCUAGCGGGCUCUGCCGUCCUGCCAGCCUCAGGGCCUACGUGUCGGCCAGUGGAGGAAGCAGGGGCACAAACCUGCCUCUGCCCCUUGGGUCCCCAGGUUCCAUGGCGACCGCUUCCUGACUGGCAGUGCUCCCCUCUCUGUAGCAUGCACAGUUGCCUGCCCUGCGCCCCCAUAAGGCCACUGGCCAACUCUGGAGGGCUUUGGUGCAAUGCCUCAGAGAUUCAGCAGAAACUGCUGGCCAGGGUCUGGCCUCUUUCCUACCCUCCCCAGCACCCAAGGCUGGCACACUCCAGAGGCUGUGCCCCUCAGAUGACCUUUUGAAGACCUGGGGGUCCCCAGGAGCGCAGGCAGGCAGGUAGCCCCUCCUGCCAGCACAGGCACCCCCAGUGGCCUGGCCUUAGCCACUUGCCACACCUGUCCAUGAAGAUGGUGGGGGAACAUCUUCCGGGCCAAGAGCUGGAUGCUUGUAUACCUACUCCCUGCUUGUAAUACAAAUGAAAGCAAAGCCCUCGCUCUCCUCUCCCCCAUGUUGUUCCAGGAUAAUCUGUGACACACAGGUCCUAGGACAGUGUCCCCUCACCUCACACCUGGGAGGCUCCUUCCCAAGGCCCUGAGCCGGUUUCAAACACCUUGAGCCUGGCUUCUCCCCAGUCCCUGGCUCCCAUGUUGUCCUGUGCCGGAACCUUGCCUGGGCCCAAGCCCCUUCUUGGGGAUGUUUCUUUUGUUUUCUUUUCAAGAGACAAGGUCUUGCUCUGUUACCCCGUCUGGAGCACAGUCGUGUGAUCACAGCUCACUGGAGCCUUGACCUGGGCCCAAGCACUCCUGCCCUGACCUCCCAAGUAGCUGGGACAACAGGCAUACACCACCACACCCAGCUAAUUUUAAUUUUGUUUUAGAAACAGUCUUGCUAUGUUGUCUAGGCUACUCUUGAACUCCUGGCCUCAGGUGAUCUUGCCUCAGCCUCCCAAAGCACUGGGACUACAGGCAUGAGCCACUGUGCUAAUUUUUAGCAGCUAAUUUUUAAGAACUGUAGAGAUGGGGUCCUGCUGUGUUGCCCAGUCUGGUCUUGAACUCCUGCCUCAGCCAGCCAGUGUUGGGAUUACAGACAUGAACCACUGCCUGACUCUCCUAGGGGAUCUUAACAAGCCGUGUCUCCAGGCUGGGGAGCCCAGGGCGAGGCUGAAGCUGUGACUGAAGCAGCUGUAGUCACCCGUUACCUGGGCUGGGGGAGUCGACGUCCCGUGGCUUGGACGGUGUUUGUGCUGUUAUCUGUUCAGACACGAUCACAGAGGGGCUUGCUCUGCCCUCAUCCAUCGCGGUCUGCUGCGGAGGCUCUACGGAGCACUUCGUGGUCCUCACGUGGACAUCCUGGCCUGGCUGACAGGCCUGCUCUGGGCUGCCUGGACUGCUUUCUCUCUCUCAGAUGCUUCUAGUAUUUUCCUGUUAAUCGUGGCUUUGGGGCUGAGGUAGAAAUAUUCUAUCACGUUAGCCACCAAGCAUUCUGGGAUGUAAACAUUAGCAGGUGAACUGAGGAGAAAGCAACUUGAAAAAUGACCUCAGGCGCAGGGGCGUUCAUGGGUUGUUUUUUCUAUCUCAGAUUUGACCCAGGGUGGCCCUAAUCUGCGGUGCUGUGCAGCCAGCACCAGGACAACAACUCCAGAGAGGCCUGGGAAAUGGGGGCACUGUGGACCAGAGAGGGUUGGGGUUCCCAUUUUUCUCUCUUUGCUGUCACUACUUUUCCUUAAGGUGGGCCCUGUUGGGUGGAAGCGUGAGACGGUGCAGGUGGCUAGAGCGGUGGGAGAAACCCAUCUUUCUGGACAGGGAAAACAAGAAAAGGACCCCAUAAGUGAGAAAAUGCAAGGCAAGUUCCAGCAAGGAGAGAGCUGGAGAAGGGGGACCCCCAAAUUCUCCACGUGUGUUGAAACACACCCCUGCCCCACCCCACCUGUGAGUGCAGCCAACAACCCAAAACAGUAUAGCCAAGGCCGAGGGCUGACCUGGGGGUGGACCUGCUGCUCGUGGAAAGAGAGAACCAGUGGUCAGAACCUAACCAGGUUGCCUGCUGCUGAAACACAUGAAAUGACACUUACAGCAACGGUGUGAACAACCCAGAGUCUAACCUAACAUUCCACAUGACGAGUGAGGGUUCAACCUGCAGUUACUCAGCACACACAGAACCAGGAAAACGCAAACAGAAAAGUGAUUUCAGCCCCAAGAUGCUCAAAUGUUCAGAUUAUCCCAGAAUUCACAGCAGCCCUAGUUACAACCAUGCUUCAUGAAGUAAAGGUGAACACUCUUGGAAUGAGUGGAAAACGAAGUGCCCAGCAGAGAAAUAAAAAGGAACCUAAUGGAAAUUUUAAAACUCAUUGAGUAUUUGAAAUAAAUUCACUGGGUGAGUUCAGUAUCAGAAUUAAGAUGACAGAAGAGAAAAAUCAGUGAACUUGAAGAUGGAGCACCAGAAAUCACCAAAUGAAGGACAGAUAGAAAAGAACGAAGAAAGAUGAACAGAGCCUCAGGGACCAGUGGGAAAACGUCAAGAGGUCUAACAUCCGAGUCACUGGAGUCACAGAAGGAGAGGAGAAAGAUCAGUACAAGAAAAGAAAUAAUGGCAAAAAAUUCCUGAAAUUUGGUGAAAGACAAAAACUGCCCAUCUAGGCUGUGGCAGGCCUACCAGGGAGUGGAAAGUUCCAGCACAACAUUCCACUGGCUGAGGGAGCAUGGGACGUGGACAGCUCAGCUGCACAUCCGUAAACCAUCCCUUCCACGGCCACCUUGGGCGCGGGGAGGGGCGGGGGUGUUUGUGGAGAAAAACCAGCACUGCAGAAGUACAAAUUCAAAAAUCUUAAUUUAUUGUAGACUCUUCUCAUUUGUAAUUCCAGUGUUUUGAACAUUAAUAAAUACACAUCUGUUAAAAACCUCCAGUGUCUAAUCUCUCCCAUAAAGUCUUAAUAAAAAUAAGUUUACAUUUUGCCUGUCUCAAUAAAACUGACAGUUGUUUUUUGGUAACAGUUCUGACCAAAUUAAAAAUUACACCUCAU